rnacentral:rRNA from 1 species
UCCAGUUGAUCCUACUGGAGAUCACCGCUUUCGGAGUUCGAAUUUACCCAUGCAAGUCAGCUGGCCAAGUGUGGUCAGCGGCGAACGGCUUAGUAACACGUAGACAAUCUGCCCUAUAGCCUGAGAUAAGAGCGGGAAACUGCUUUCAAUACCAGAUAGGCUUUGGAUACUGGAAUGUUCCAAAACCCAAAGGGCUUAACCUUUCUGUUAAGUUCCGCUAUAGGAUGAGUCUGCGGCUGAUCAGGCUGUUGGUAAGGUAACGGCUUACCAAACCAAAGACCAGUAGGGGUCUUGAGAGAGAGAGCCCCAAGAGGGACACUGAGACAAGGGUCCCAGUCCUACGGGAUGCAGCAGGGUCGAGUUCUCUACAAUGCACGUAAGUGUGAUAGGGGGACUCCGAGUGCUUAUGUUUUACAUAGGCUUUUGCCAAGUGUAAAUAGCUUGGCGAAUAAGGGGUGGGCAAGACCGGUGGCAGCAGCCGCGGUAAUACCGGCGCCCCGAGUGGUGGUCGUUUUUAUUGGGCCUAAAGCGUUCGUAGCCGGUUUAGUAUGCUUUUGGUGAAAUCCAUGCGCUCAACGUAUGGACGUGCCAGAAGAACUGCUAGACUAGGGACCGGGAGAAGUAAGGAGUAUUGUUGGGGUAAGGGUAAAAUCUUAUAAUCCCAACAAGACUACCUGUGGCGAAGGCGCCUUACUAGAACGGGUCCGACGGUGAGGGACGAAAGCUGAGGGAGCGAACGGGAUUAGAUACCCCGGUAGUCUCAGCCGUAAACGCUGUCUGUUAGGUGUUACACGUUGUUCGACGGCGUGUAGUGCCGAAGCGAAGGCAUUAAACAGACCGCCUGGGGAGUACGGUCGCAAGGCUGAAACUUAAAGGAAUAGGCGGGGGAGCACAGCAAGGGGUGAAGCCUGCGGUUCAAUCGGAUUCGACGCCGGGAAUCUCACCAGGACUGACAGCACUAUGAAGGUCAACUUGAAGGGUUUACCUGAGGCGCUGAGAGGUGGUGCAUGGCCGCCGUCAGCUCGUGUCGUGAGAUGUCUUGUUAAGUCAAGCAACGAGCGAGACCCUCAUUAUUAGUUGCUAGUCCCCAUGUUUAUGGGAACGCACACUAGUAGGACUGCCUGUGUAAACAGGAGGAAGGUGAGGGCGACGUCAGGUCAGUAUGCCCCGAAUGUCUUGGGCUACACGCGGGCUGCAAUGGCUUGGGCAAUGAGCUGCGACACCGAAAGGUGAAGCCAAUCUCCUAAACCAAGUCCCAGUUCGGAUCGAGGAUUGUAACUCAUCCUCGUGAAGCCGGAAUCCCUAGUAACCGUAUUUCAUAAUGGUACGGUGAAUACGUCCCUGCUCCUUGCACUCACCGCCCGUCAUACCAUUCGAGUUGGGUGGGAAUGAGGUUCUAUCAUCUCGAGUUAGUUUCAAAUUUCCAUUCAGCGAGAGGGGUAAAGUCGUCACAAGGUA